AAGUCGUAACAAGGUUUCCGUAGGUGAACCUGCGGAAGGAUCAUUACCUCUCUGGGCUAUUUUAAUAGCCUUCGGGGGGCUAUAGUCUCUAUAGCCUCUGACUGAAUCCGGUUUUUUUACGUACUACAUGUUUUCCUCGGCGGGCUUUGCUCGCCGGUUGGACAACCUAAAACUCUUUGCAAUUGCAAUCAGCGUCUGAAUUAUUUAAUAAUUACAA
rnacentral:misc_RNA from 1 species